GCACCCUUAGUUCAACUGGACAGAACAAAUGACUUCUAAUCAUUAGGCUACAGGUUCGAAUCCUGUAGGGUGUG
rnacentral:tRNA from 1 species